GACGAACCCUGGCGGCGCGCCUAACACAUGCAAGUCGAACGGAGUCAAGAGGAGCUUGCUUUUCUUGACUUAGUGGCGAACGGGUGAGUAACGCGUGAGUAACCUGCCCUGGAGUGGGGGACAACAGUUGGAAACGACUGCUAAUACCGCAUAAGCCCACGGAUCCGCAUGGAUCUGCGGGAAAAGGAUUUAUUCGCUUCAGGAUGGACUCGCGUCCAAUUAGCUAGUUGGUGAGGUAACGGCCCACCAAGGCGACGAUUGGUAGCCGGACUGAGAGGUUGAACGGCCACAUUGGGACUGAGACACGGCCCAGACUCCUACGGGAGGCAGCAGUGGGGGAUAUUGCACAAUGGGGGAAACCCUGAUGCAGCGACGCCGCGUGGAGGAAGAAGGUUUUCGGAUUGUAAACUCCUGUCGUUAGGGACGAUAAUGACGGUACCUAACAAGAAAGCACCGGCUAACUACGUG
rnacentral:rRNA from 1 species